rnacentral:rRNA from 1 species
UGUUAGCGGCGGACGGGUGAGUAACACGUGGAUAACCUACCUAUAAGACUGGGAUAACUUCGGGAAACCGGAGCUAAUACCGGAUAAUAUUUUGAACCGCAUGGUUCAAAAGUGAAAGACGGUCUUGCUGUCACUUAUAGAUGGAUCCGCGCUGCAUUAGCUAGUUGGUAAGGUAACGGCUUACCAAGGCAACGAUGCAUAGCCGACCUGAGAGGGUGAUCGGCCACACUGGAACUGAGACACGGUCCAGACUCCUACGGGAGGCAGCAGUAGGGAAUCUUCCGCAAUGGGCGAAAGCCUGACGGAGCAACGCCGCGUGAGUGAUGAAGGUCUUCGGAUCGUAAAACUCUGUUAUUAGGGAAGAACAUAUGUGUAAGUAACUGUGCACAUCUUGACGGUACCUAAUCAGAAAGCCACGGCUAACUACGUGCCAGCAGCCGCGGUAAUACGUAGGUGGCAAGCGUUAUCCGGAAUUAUUGGGCGUAAAGCGCGCGUAGGCGGUUUUUUAAGUCUGAUGUGAAAGCCCACGGCUCAACCGUGGAGGGUCAUUGGAAACUGGAAAACUUGAGUGCAGAAGAGGAAAGUGGAAUUCCAUGUGUAGCGGUGAAAUGCGCAGAGAUAUGGAGGAACACCAGUGGCGAAGGCGACUUUCUGGUCUGUAACUGACGCUGAUGUGCGAAAGCGUGGGGAUCAAACAGGAUUAGAUACCCUGGUAGUCCACGCCGUAAACGAUGAGUGCUAAGUGUUAGGGGGUUUCCGCCCCUUAGUGCUGCAGCUAACGCAUUAAGCACUCCGCCUGGGGAGUACGACCGCAAGGUUGAAACUCAAAGGAAUUGACGGGGACCCGCACAAGCGGUGGAGCAUGUGGUUUAAUUCGAAGCAACGCGAAGAACCUUACCAAAUCUUGACAUCCUUUGACAACUCUAGAGAUAGAGCUUUCCCCUUCGGGGGACAAAGUGACAGGUGGUGCAUGGUUGUCGUCAGCUCGUGUCGUGAGAUGUUGGGUUAAGUCCCGCAACGAGCGCAACCCUUAAGCUUAGUUGCCAUCAUUAAGUUGGGCACUCUAAGUUGACUGCCGGUGACAAACCGGAGGAAGGUGGGGAUGACGUCAAAUCAUCAUGCCCC